UUAUUAAGAGGAGAUUGUGAAGCAAAGAGAUGGAGACUUUUCCUGGAUAAAAAGACCCUUGCCUGGAAUUAUCUUCACUUCAUUUGCAAGAUCAUCCAGAUCCAGUGCCAAGACAAUAGUCAAGAGGACUGGUGAUGGCUGGGGAUGCGAUGGAUGACCGUGGCAUCAUCAGUGCCUAACCAAGCUCUAAGGGCUCCAGAGCGCCUACUUCAGUCAUCUUCCUGGUUGUUGGAAACUAAUUGUUCUCAUCAACUUCACACGCCUGAGAUUUUCUUGGCCAUCCAGUAAUUUCCUGGGGAAUGAACCUUUACCUGCUUAGCUGGACUGGUCCUCAGGAAGCAGAUUCAGUUCAUUGUUGUUAUUUGGGACCAUUUAGGGAAGCCUUUCUAAUAUGACAGUACUUGCUAGAUCUUGUAAUCCAAUGAUACAGACUUUGAGAAUCUGUGGCUAUAUCUGUGGCUUUAGUGGCCAUGAAGAUGGGACUUUCUGGGGAGGAUUUUUGAGUAUGAAAUAUCAAUUUGAUUUAUUUAGUUGAGAGACUAAAGGAACUCUCAGAAUUCUUAUUCCUUUUACAUGAUAUCAUUGAUUGUUCCUUCAGGAAAGCUAAAAGUAUUUAAAAUUUUUUUCUUUUGAUUUUGGAGUUUAGAAGUAGAGGGCUUAGUUGAAGGAGAUGCAGAUGAGAUUCAGAUGCUGUCAGAAUGACCACUUCCAUGGAUCUGGAAAACCAGUGUAACCUGAAGAAUUGCUUAGUUUAUGACUGAACAUCAGUAGAAUAUAAACUCCUUGAGGACGGGAACUAUUUUGUCUCUGUUUCCCCUGUAUAUUGUACAUAAUAAGUAUUGUUGGAUUAGCUUUAAAUGGAUCUGGGGUAUAAUUUUCCUGUAACAUUACCCAUCUCCUUUUAUUUAUAGUUUAUCAGUCAUGAGUUACUAUGAAAUGCCAUUAGAAAAUAGAAAACUGGGGCUUAACUUGAAUAAGAGAAGCAAUGAAUAAAUGAUAAACAAAUGAGUAAAUAAAUAGAUGA
rnacentral:lncRNA from 1 species